rnacentral:rRNA from 1 species
GAUGAACGCUAGCGGCAGGCCUAAUACAUGCAAGUCGAACGGUGUCUUCGGACAUAGUGGCGCACGGGUGCGUAACACGUAUGCAACCUACCUUACAUUGGGGGACAGCCUUUCGAAAGGGAGAUUAAUACCGCAUAAGACAGUAGCUGGGCAUCCAGCAGCUGUUAAAGAUUUAUCGAUGUAAGCUGGGCAUGCGUCCAAUUAGCUAGUUGGUGAGGUAACGGCUCACCAAGGCAAUGAUUGGUAGGGGAACUGAGAGGUCAAUCCCCCACACUGGCACUGAGAUACGGGCCAGACUCCUACGGGAGGCAGCAGUAGGGAAUAUUGGGCAAUGGACACAAGUCUGACCCAGCCAUGCCGCGUGCAGGAUGAAGGCGUUAUGCGUUGUAAACUGCUUUUAUACAGGAAGAAACGACUCUUGCGAGAGGCAUUGACGGUACUGUAUGAAUAAGCACCGGCUAACUCCGUGCCAGCCGCCGCAGUAAGAC